rfam:Zootermopsis nevadensis contig19069, whole genome shotgun sequence.
GCCACGGUGGUCUAGCGGUUAGAUCGCUGGCCUUGUAAUCCUGGGGUCUCGGGUUCGAUUCCCGGCGGUGCCC